ensembl:lncRNA
UGUAGCUCCGAUUCGACUCCUAGCCUGGGAACCUCCAUAUGCCGUGGGUGCAGCCCUAAAAAGACCCCAAAAAAAAAAAAAAAGUUAAUUUUAAUAAUAGCUUUCCAAAUGUUCAGCAGAUUAACCUGAACUUUUUCCUCUCUCUACCUCUCUUUUGUAGCAAUUACCACCAUUUUAAUUGGCUAAUUAAUUGUGAAAUGAAUUGUUUAAUGAUGAUCUAUCUUACCAGAAUGUAAGGUUUGUGAAGGCAGGGUUAGUAGGGACAGUAUCUGGCAUGUUUAUUGCUACAUCCCUCAUACCAGGUGCUGGCUGGCCUGUGUGUGUAUAUGUGUGUGUUCGUGUGUGUAUAAUCCAGUAAGUAUUUGCAUGAACAAAUGAAUUAAUGAAUAGCUGAACCUUGAAACAAAACUAACCAACAAAAGGAAGAUAUUUAUAGGAAAAAAAUAUUACACGAUAUAUGGAAGAUGAUAAUGCAUUGGUUUUUACUUAAGUUUUUUUAAAUUAAAAAUUUUAAAAAACUUUUUGGCUGUGCCCGUGGCAUGUGGAAGUUUUUGGGCCACAGCAGCAACCUGGGCCACUGCAGUGACACUGCCAGAUAUUUAACCUGCUGCACCACGAGGGAACUCUAGAUUUUACUUAAGUUUUGACUGAAUUGAGUAUGGCAAUUUAGACACAAACCGUGAGAAUUUAUAGCUAUCACUAGAAUCAAUAGCCUCAAAUUCCAAUUCUGUCACUUCCUAGCUAGUGACUUUAGACAAGUAAGUUCUUUUAUACUUCUGGGACUCCAUUGUUCUAGCUACAAAAUAGAAAAUAACGUUUAUUCCUGGACUUUGCUCUGAAGAUUACUUUAACACAGUGCCUAGUACAUGAUAGAUGUUUGAUAAAGAUGAGACUUUAAGAGGUGGUACUGUAUAGUGCUUAGGAACAUAGCUUUUGAUAUUAAAGUGCCUGGGUUCAAAUCCUACUAUUUAUUAGCUGUGUGACUUUGACAAGGCAUUUAACCUCUUUGUGCCACAUUUUUUUCUCAUCUACGAAAUGAGGAUGAUAAUUAUAAUACUUUUAUGAUCACUAUGAAAUUUAAAUAUAAUUAAUAUAGGUAAAAUGCUUAGAAUGGUGUUCUUUGUGUGUGUGUAUAUAUACACAAACAUAUAUAUUAAGCAUUAUAGAAGUGUUGCUCUUAUUCUUUGGUAGCAAGUAUUUAUCCUUUGAGGGUACAUUUUCAAAAGCAGCCAAAAGUCAGUCUCAACCAUAUAAAUUCUCAACAUGAAAAAUAGAGUUUUGGAUAAAAAUCAAGUGUUUUAGGGAGUUCCUGUCGUGGCUUAGCAGCAAUGAACCCAGCUAGUAUCCAUGAGGAUGUGGGUUCGAUCCCUGGCCUCACUCAGUGGGUUAAGAUCUGGC